AAUGUGCAUAUAUAAUGCUUCCUGAGGCCUCUUGUAAAUGGUUUUAGGUUCUCUCUUCCCCCAAGGAUACAAGGGCAGAAUUAAGUUGAUGGGCAGCGGUGGUUUGCCCUUGAAUAGGUGUUAAGAAUGCCGACCUCUGCUCAGGAAUCGGAGGGGCUGGUAUGAUGGAGCAUCCGCUGACAUGGCUGAGAGCACAGAUGUGACAAGACAGACCCAAGUUCCAAUCUUGUCUCUACUACCUCUGACAAGCUACUUAAGCCACGGUUUCAAGAUUUAAAAAAUGGGAACAAGAGAGUGCCCUCUUUAUAGGAUUAUGAGAAUUAGAUGGGGGUAAGGCAGGUGGCCGUAGCACAGUACUUGGCUCACUCAUAAUGGAGCAGUUUUAUGAAUAUGACUAUUAUCAUCAUGUAUUAAAAUUGGGUGGAAGGUGUCUCUAGCAUCCUAUCCAACCACUUGCAAGAUAUCCUUCCCUUACGGGAACUCAUAGGUUAGUGUGAAUGUUGAGGUGCUGGGUGGAACCUUCCUAUCCAUGCCACACAGUAGAUUUCAUCGUGUCUCCCUCAUCCUGACAGGUCCAAUUCCAACAGCCAAUCACAGCUGUUCAAAAGCAUUAUUUGCCUACCUCCUGUUCUGCAGGAUUCCAAGCUGGCAAGGGGAGACCUUUUUUAUUAAUAUUAAUAAGCAUCCAGGAACAAAGGGCCCCUUUACUUUCUGCUUUCUCCAAUUGCAUAAUAAUUAGUCAUCUACACUAAGAAUGAGGUCGACUUCACCUCCUGGAGUACUGAUGGUUUAUAUUGUUGGAGAAGGCAGGCACCAUUCUGAAAUACAUGCAAAACAUGUUCCAUAGAGGCAGAACGCCGCCUCUCAUCCAGAAGACCUCACCAAUAGGGAAGGACACCAAGGACACAGUGUUGUGUUGAGGAGGGGCACCCCAGGUAGGGUUAAUCAGGUGUGGCUUCCUGGCACACCUGGAGCCAAUUUUAAUGGAGGGAGCAAAGGCAAGGACAGAGGAAGGUGGACUGGCUGCGACUGCCAUGAGGGCACAGGGGUGGGAAUCAACAGCCUCAAGUAGGGAAUGAGUAAUAACUUGUUGGCAGAAGCAAAAGAGAGUCACAGAAAAAGGUGGAGGAUUGCAAGGGAAGGCCCUCCUUUGGCAGCCUUGCUCCCCUUCCCUUGUUCUAGGGACUAGAAUCCUCCACCCCAGGGAUUAGGGAAGGGUCAAGCUGUGUUCUGUGGGGCCGCUGCCAACUUGACCUUCCUGAGCUGGUUCCGUCCUUACCAAGCUCCACUGCCAUAGAGCAUAUGAACCUCUCUCUCCCACCAGUAUGACUGUAGUGAUCUGGUUUUCAAGAUCUCUCAGAAUCUAGUCUGUCUUGACCUCAUCAAGCCUAUUAGACAGCCUCCCACUGUCCCCUCAGCACUGACUGUCAUCCCACUGCCAACCUGUUAACCAAAUUCUCUCACCUGAAGCGUCCUCUCAUCUCCUGCUUGAAAUCCUGUGGGGCCCACGUGAGUCUUGCUUCCUGUCUGAGCUUCCCUGCCUGCUGAGUGCUCUCUGACCAGGCAGGAACGUAGUUUUACUGAAGCUCAGCUCUUUUAUCCAGUGCAUGCUGCGUCCUCCCCAAAAGACUGGGAACUUGUUGAAGGUGAAGGACCAUGCCCUGAAAUUCUGCAUCCCACCCCAGACUCCAGCAUGAUGCUGAGCCCAGAGUUAAUCAGCUAAUGGAUAAAAGCCAAAGGCCUGAAGCAUCCCUUACUGGGUAGUGACAGAUGAACAUUUAUGGAGUGUUUACAUGAUGUCACCUGUCCUCCUGCACUCUCCUCUCUAGUCUACCCUGCUGUCCAACAUACAAAUCUGAUGUCACUUCCUGGGGUCAGGCCUCUCUGAAGUUCCCAGUUGUCUGUGUGAAUCCAGGCUCUUUCACAGGGCACCAAAGGCCCUCUGCUCUGGCUCUGCCAGUCCUCCAGCUUUAUCUGUGGCUGCUCCCCCCAUGCCCCUCCCACCCCCAUUGCACUUUAUUCUCUAGCCAGAGUGAGCCAUUUGUAGGGCUUCAGAUUCACUCUACUGUUUUGGGUUCUGUGGCUUUGCACAUGCUGUUCCCUCUGGCUCUUGGGGAACUCCUACUUGUCCUUUAAAAGUAGAAACACUCACUACUCCCCUGUGAAACCUUCCCAGACAAAGCCAACUACUUCCUCCUCUGGGCCCUUUCUGUUACUGGAUUUAUGGCAUCAUACUGUAAGUACCCAUCAGCCUCCAUGCUAGGGUGGGAGACACUUGAGGGCAGGGAUUCAUGCUUUCCCACCCAGCAGCAUUCAUCCUUCCAUCUCUUUAUCUGCACCCAGACUGUCCUUUGGAAAUCCAUUCUUCUCCUUUUAUUCAGCUCAGAGGGGGUUGGAUCCCACCCUUAGUGACUGGUUCUCCCAAACCAGGCCUUAGCCCAGCAACACAAAGCUCUGGACUUCUGCUAGAAUUCAGGACCAUCUGACCCUCUCUUCUUCAAGACAGGCUGGUGGGAAGCAGGAAACCACUGCAACCAUUUUGCCACCGUAGGAAAGCCAACAUAAAGACAGCAUUGAAGCAAAAAGAAAGACAAAGUUAAGGGAACUGCAAAAAAAGAGCCCUGAGCAGUCUAGACAUGAAGCCUACUUUUCUAUGGAGCUUCCAGGAUGCUGGCCAAUAAAUCCCAUAUAAUAUUUAACCAUGCCAAGUUGGGUUUUUUGAUAUAGCCCAAACCCAAAGCGCCACACGUAAUAAUAACUACUGUUGUUGUACACUUAAUAAAUAUCUGGUGAAGUAAAUUCUGUGGCAGAUGAGCCCUGAGCCCAGUUCUGCAAUCUACACCUGACAGAAGGGCCUGUGAGGUAUAGGGACCUGAGUUCUCCACCAAUCCAGCACCGAGGCUACUGGAUUCUCUCAGCAUACUCCGCGCAUGGGGGGCAUCUGGCUGGCAGGUGAAUUCUUCAUGAACACACACAGUUUCUCUGCAGGGUUACUGAAGCAGAUAGCAGGGCCUGGGCUCCUGAGCCAGCAUGAGAGAGAGGGCCAACCAGGAUUGGUCCAAAAGCCCUUGGAAAGUGAAUGAAGCAGAGGUCAGCAGCGUGCAGCUUCACGUUAUUAUAAAUUCACUGGGAUUACUGAAAUCCAGUGUGGGAUUCUUGAUGGUGAAAGACCUGGCUCUCCCAGAAAUGAAGAUUUUAAUGACAAACUGAGAAAUGAGGUGCCCAUCCCCAGGACACAAGGCAGUGGACUGAGAGGCUGGAUGUGAGCUGGCCAAGGACCCAAGGCAUAGAGGGCUUGGAGGAGCCUGGCCGGUGGGCCUUAAGAAAGAAGCAAAGACUGUGCUCUGUUCAAGAACCACAAGACAAGAACAAAGGGAGAGCUUUCGGACUCCUUCUGAUCCUGUUUCUGUUCUCUCUUGCUACAGUUGGACAUUAUCAGCAGAGAUCUCAGUUCGGAAGGCUAGAGCUGAGGGUGGUGACCCAGUGCUGGACUGGGGGAGCAGGGAGUGUGAGGGGAGGUGGUGGUGGCUGAUGGCGAGAACAUGGAUCCAAGCCCCUUGGCAACAUUGAAAAUAUGGAGCCCCCUCUCUUCCUGGUCCCCCACGCUAUCCUUCAGACAGCUGUGCUGUCCUGGGCUAUUGGAGGCCCUGUAAUAUCAACUCAACAAUGCAUGUUCUAGAGCUACGGCUACCAGGACAUCUACUACAGUGCAUGCAUUUAGUUCAGUCCCACAGAGACAUACACUCUAAGAACAGGCAGGGGAGGUGUGAAAUGUUUUACUGGACAACAGGUGUUUUGGAGUUGUAACUAAUAAAAAAAAAA